rnacentral:lncRNA from 10 species
UGAAAAGACACUGUGAUGGCAUUUAGGACCCACCCAGCUAAUUCAGUGUGUUCUCAUCUGCAGAUCCUUGAUCAAGUCACAUUUGCAGAGACCUCUUUUUCAAAUAAGGAACAGAAUUGCCAUUGGGCCCAGGGAGAGACUACACUUCUUGUCUGCUUUGUUGCUAGUGCGGCCUUGUGGCCAAGCACAGAACGUGUGCAGUGAUGAUGGUGCAACUUCUAGGUCGUCCCCAGCAUGGAAAAUGAGCCCUGGGCAUGGAAGAUGAGCCCUGGUCCUGCAGCGGUGCUCUUUCCUCUUCUCACAAGCUGGAAUGUGCAUGUGCUCCCACCCAGCUUUGACCAUGGGGCGAAAACAGUACUCUGCAGUCUGGCAGAGCAACAAGGUGGAAAGGGCCUGGGUCCUUGAGUGACGUCAUGAGCCCUCUCACUGUCCCGACUUUGGGACUGUUAUAUGAUAAGGACUUUCUGUGAGUCACUGUCUUUUAGAGUCUCUCUGUUUUAGCUGCCUGGACUUUAUCCUGAAUAAUAUGGCUGUUAUCAUGGGUAUAGUGUUACUAUGAGCCUCAUCUAAGUAAUUUCUACUCUGCCUUUGACCACUAAACUCAUGUUGGAC